UACGGGGGGGGCAAGGCGUUGUUCGGAAUUACUGGGCGUAAAGGGCGCGUAGGCGGUCAGACCAAGUCGAGUGUGAAAUUCCAGGCUUAACGUCUGGCGCGCUCGCUCGAUACUGGUCGGCUACGAGUGUGGAAGAGGAUGCUGGAAUUCCCGGUGUGAGCGGUGAAAUGCGUAGAGAGUCGGGAGGAAGGCCGGUGGCGAAGGCGGCGCUCUGGAACAUUUCUGACGCUGAGGCUCGAAAGCGUGGGGAGCAAACAGG
rnacentral:rRNA from 1 species